CUCCUCUUGCCUCACCUCCUCCUCCUCCUGCCGCGGCUCAGCCUCAUGAACGUGAGCUCAGCAGCGGCUCAGCCUCACGAACCUGCAACUCUGAGGCUUUACGCACUUCUCCUAAAACAGACACCCGCUGCCUCACGCUGCACGGGAAAUGCUUUUUGCCCCUGGGUCCCUUCAUGCUCUUUUCUGGCGCUGAAUCAAGGCGGCGACCCCCCCCCUCCCUUUCUUUCUUCCUCUCUCUCGUUCUUAUUCUUUCUUUCCCUCUCCAUCCUUCCUUCUUUAUCUCUGUCUUCUCUCCCUCUUUCUUUUUCUUUCCUUCUUUAUUCCUUCUUUCCUACUCUUCUUUCUCUCACCUCUUUCCUUCCUCUCUCCCUCCUGCUCCCUCUUUUCUUUCUUUCUUUCUUCCUUACUUCCUUCCUUUCUUCCGUCCUUCCCAUCUUUCUUCCUCUCCCUCAUUCUUAUUCUUUCUUUCCCUCUACUUCCUUCCUUCUUUCUCCCUUUCCGUCUUCUCUCCCUCUUUCUUUUUCUUCCCUUCUUUAUUCCCUUCCUUAUUUCCUACUCUUCUUUCUCUCCCCUCUUUCCUUCCUUCCUCUCUCCCUCCCACUCCCUCUUUCCUUCCUUCCUUCCUUCCUUCCUUCCUUCCUUCCUUCCUUCCUUCCUCCCCUCCCCUCCCCUCCCCUCCCCUCCCCUCCCUUCCCUUCCCUUCCCUUCCCUUCCCUUCCCUCUCCCUCUCCUCAGAAACAUAGGAUGCUGCUUUAUACUUCUGGCCCUAAACCCUGGAACCAGGAGAGCAGCUUCAGUGAGUCAACCUCAGCCAGUCCCUUUGGUGAAGGGUGGUGGCUCACUGGCAGAACAUCUGUCCUGCAUGCAGAAGGACCCCAGCAUCUCCAGGUACUAGUAGCUCUGCAAAGGUCCUGCAUGAAACCCUAGCGAGCCUCCACCACCCAGUGCACUUACCAAAAAUCAUUUUUCAAUAAAUUGUACAAUAAUUGUACAUUUGAAUAUCUACUUGCCAUUAUUCUGACUAUGUUUCUGCUUUCAGAGCUAGUUAUUACUUACAUUAUUACAAAAAAACAGUAAUAAUUGAAUGCAGUGACAAUAAUUUAUGAUAAUAAAGAGUGGACACAUAGUCCUACAGAUACAACCGGCCCUUUGAGGGUGACCAAACUGCUGAUGCGGCCCCCGAUGAAUUUGAGUUUGACACCCCUGUAUGUAUGUCAUGAUUUCCCCUUCUGCUUAAGUGGCAGUGAGCAACAGUGGGGAAUCCUGAGCGAUGCUACAAUUGAGUGUGAUCCAUCAUAGCUUCUGAAAGAAAUUUGAUCAGCUCAGAUAGCAACUAUUGCUCAUCAGAAUUAUGGUAGCAUUUUAUCACUCCAAAUAAGUUGGACUUUCUACCAAGCUUAGGUGGAGCUCCACAAAAACAGCAUUCAGCAUACAGUGUUCAAAAUGAUGUUGUGCUUUUGUGCUAACAGUGUAUGAACAAAUUCUUUGUUGCAUAUACUUUUAAAAGUAGAAGUACUUGAAGCAUCCUUUUAUAUUAAGAUGAAACUUGUUAUUUCUUCAUUGUUGUGAAAUUUUAGCUAUUUUUUAAAAUAAACCGCAUAGCUCAAAAGUACACACACUAACGAUUUUCUAGUUUUAUGGUGGUCAACAUAAGAUUCACCAUUAAUGUUAUGUACUGAAUUACGAUAACUUACAGCAGGAACUUGUUUACUUUUUCCAAUGAUAGCACUGGUUCUCUCAAACUUUGUCUUACCUGCCCACAAAGGCACGUAAGAGAUUAAAUGUGAACUCAUAACAUAGAUGCCCUUGAAAAGAGCCAGCCUAUUUGGCAGAGAUCUACAGCUCUGACAUUACUAUAUCUUUUUUAUAGUUUCACUGGUUUCUUUAUUUUAGACUCUUAAAAGACAACAACAUUUUCAGCAGGUGAUUACAAUUACAAUGGUAGAUUUCUAACACAGAAUUUUUUCUAGGCUUUUUUUAUUGGCUAUGCUCCAAAGAUCUCUGUGGGAACUUUGAUGUCUGCACAGACUAACACAUGAAAAGCUUUCUUUAGUCACUUUAAGCAGCAUCAGUGUCAUGUGAUGGAUACAGAGGGAGAGCAAUCUUUGCUAAUGAAGUGAAUUGAUUACCACCUGAAUUAGGUAGGAAGUCUGUAAAGCCUAGAUGAAAAUUAUAUAAAAACAUUGGCUAACGAUCACAUACCAAAGAUGAAAACCUGUGAAACAGGAUGAAUAUUGCCAAUACUAAAUAUUUCCCUUAAGGACGUAGAGUUAGGAGGACACUGCAGACACAUGCAUAGUAAAAGAGAGUUAUGGAAAGAUGGUUUGCAAAGUGACAUGACUGGUGUAUUGAUGAAGCUUUACGAAGGAGCAGAAGCUGAAGUGCAUUGUUUCUCAACAUCUGUACCAAUUUCCAGAUAAUAUUGCUGCCUAUAAGGACAUUCUGAUUUAGAACUAAUCUGUUGUAACAUUCUCUGCUCAAAAUGUUUCAUCUAUUGCCUUUAAAAUGUACGAUGCCUUCUUUUGAUUCUGAACAAAAGUGAAAGACAAAUUUUCAGCAGUAUCUGAAAGGGUUAUAUAGAAACAUCACAUAGAAAGGAAAGCUUUAGUUGUGAUCAAUCUGGCCAUGACAAUUUGGUUAUAUAACCCCCAUGCCUUCUGGAUGGAACAUCAAUAUACAAUUUUAGGGAAACAAAGAAUACAUGGGCUAGUGUGCAUUGAAUACAGAAAGGCAUUUUAAAAAAAUUGAAUGUUCAGUACAGUAUUUGAAACAGAAUGUCCCCAUUGUUUGCAGUUUGACGCUUUCUUUUAAAAUUCUCACAAAGCACGGUUUUCCCUCAUUCCAUGGAUUCAUUCCAUUGUUGCCAGCAGAUAGCUGAAUCUUUUAUAUACUUUUUGCUUUUCAACUGGAAAUAAAUGUCAAGCCGCUUCAUGAAAGCUGCACUAAAUCCUCACCCUACGUACAUUCUCUCUUCUUAGAUAUCUAGAUAAUAUUUGUUCGGGUAUGGUUGUUGCCUUCUCUUUUGUCUAAGAGGCAGGUGGCCAGUUUAACAUUAUUUUAACAUAUCCCUUUAAUGUAUUGGUGAAUGAUAAAAUACAGAAUUAUUCUUUCAUUUAAACUAUACCUUGAAAACAAGAGUAUGUAUGUCAUAGGAGAUAAAAAGUUAGAAUUAAUAUUGAUUUCAGUUGUUAAUAUUUAUAGUUGCACUGUGAAGGUCCAUCACUCUUUAUAGCUGUAUAUGCAUCGUUUUUAUAUAGGCAAAACAUGGCUGACAGGUCUGUCAACUAGUUACAUUAAACGGCUUGUGUGUGUUUGGGUGCAUUCAGAAUUUAUGGAAUACAGUGGUACCUCUACUUACGAAUUUAAUGCGUUCCAAACGCUCAUUUGUAAGUAGAAAAAAUUUGUAAGUCGAAUCCCAUAGGAAUGCAUUGGGAGAAAAAAUUCAUAAGUAGAAAAAAUCCUAUCUAAAAAUUCGUAAGUAGAAAAAAUCCUAUCUAAACCGCAUCCAAGAUGGCGGACAGAGCUCCAUUCGUAAGUAGAAACAUUCGUAAGUAGAGGUACCACUGUACAUGGUUGGGGCAAAUGGCUAAGAUAGAACAAUCUAUUAAAAUUGCAACCAAUGAAUUGCCAGAAAUGCUGAGCAGGUUCUGGUCAUGGUGUGUCCAGUGGGUCAGAGCUGCCCUCCUGACACUGCUACUUACUUGGAUGGGAUUGAUGUGGGGCAGCAGGGAGGUUGGGGCAAAGUGGGUUCUUUCCUGGUGCACCCAUGAGGCCGCAAUGUUGCUGCUGCCCAUUUGUGCCAGUGUUGGCACGACAGACCCAGGGCGCCCCCUCACUGCUGAUGGGGUCCGUUGAUGUUUGGCAAUCCAGCCAUUGCGGCACUUGUAGAUCCCAUUGAUUUCAUGUGCGGAAAUUAAAUAGGUGUAGUGCAUCAGCACUAGUCUAUUGUGUAUUAACACUUGUACAAUAAGCACUUUGUAUACUGAUAUUUGAUACUACAGAUAUUUGGUAUAGCAUUGAGACCAAGAAAGAUCAGUGCUCUUAAUCCACUACAGAACUUUUAAAGACUAAAAAGAAUGAUAUUUUUAUAGACACGUAUCCUUGAUAAAGAGCCCGUUUUAUCUUCGGUUGCGUUUUGAGUGUUUUAAGAGCUGAAUAAAUAGUUAGUGGGUGUUCCAUUGCAUGUGGAAAAAUGCAUUACCGUGUGAGUAAAAAACAGCUUCUGGAACAGCACCACUAAGAAAUGGAACCCAGUCUUAGGCUGUGUAUGCAGAAAGGUUUGGGCUUCAUUUUCAGGGCUCCCCUUAAAUUCUGUGAGAGAAAUCGUGCACAUGUUGCGGUGAAAUCACUAAGACGUCACUGUUUGUGUGGGUGGGAGCGAUUGGAUAACCACAACAACCUGAUUGGGUCCCUCGGUUGCUGGGGUAAUUCUGGCCAAUGGGUUGAGAGAAUUUGCAGCCGGGGGACCUAUUUAUACCGCUGCACAUUGCAUCGAGCUUCCUCUUAGCGCCUCGUGCAUCGGAAAACCCGCCCACCCUCCCUAUAUUUAGGGUCUUGCCAUGACCUUGCUAUGCCGUUGUGGGUCGUCUGCUUUUGGGGCAGGUGCCUGGUAGGAAUUUCCCCAUCUGGCUGAUUGGCUGGUGCCACUUGGGUUUCGCCUGCCGCGUAGCAAAUCGUCACAACUUUGUAAGGUUUGGUGGUUAGCCAUUGGUUCAAGGUGUGGUGGAGGGGAGGUUGUCACACCUGCCCUUCCCGAUGUGCAAAAGGGUAUUCCGUUAAAGGAAUCCAGGUGUUUGCCAUGCUUUUGUUCCAUCCCCUUCCAGAGCACCUGGGAGCAUUUUGGGGUGAGGUUGCGUCUCUGGUAGGACCAAUGCUGCCCCAGUUCGUUUACCCUUACUGACUUCUGCCAGUGUCCAGUUGUCAGUGCUGCCCUGCUGGAGGUGUAGGUGCAGCUAGUCGAAGCAAUGCCUAAGCCAGGCAUCCCCAAACUGCGGCCCUCCAGAUAUUUUGGCCUACAACUCCCAUGAUCCCUAGCUAAGAGGACCAGUGGUCGGGGAUGAUGGGAAUUGUAGUCCAAAACAUCUGGAGGGCCGAAGUAUGGGGAUGCCUGGCCUAAGCAAACCACUCACAUUCUGCAACCAAUAAAGUUGUGGCCAAAAUUAGGCCAAUAACCAUAAACAUUUAAUAUUGGUGUCAACUGUGUCUUUCUUGGGGGGGUCCACUUGGAGUAGGACUGACAUUGGAGACAAUCCAUUGAUAUCUCCAGGGACAGACGACAUGUUUCUCCUGCUAGCCUAGUGCCGUUUGUUCCUGAGUAUAUUCCUUAUAUUCCCCAGAUAAGUCCAUGGCUGCUAUUCUCUCUUUUGAGAAAAAGUAACCACCACCACCACAAUUUUGUUGUGCGGUCAGUGCAUACCCUUGGCAAUCAAUGCUUUUGUCUUCACCGAGAUGUACGGGUAAUUGUCAAUCACAUUGACAGGUGUUUUGCUAAAAGAGGGUCUUCAAAGAUUAUAGUCACAUUUUUACUUUUUGAAAUACAGAAACCCUAAGAAAUAUACAGUAUUUUCCCGUGUAUAAGAUGACCCCUGUUUAUUUAGCCCCAAAUUAAGAAAUAAAUAAUUGCAACAUUCCAUGUAUAAGACGACCUCCAAUUUUAAACUUAAAAAAUUGGGGGGGGGGAAUAUAGUCUUAUACACGGAAAAAUACAGUAAUCUUGAAUUUUAUUUUAUUUUGUUCUGCUUUUUUAAAUAAAGAAAUAGUUCUGUGUUUGAAAAGGACAGAUAUGUGACUUUUACAUAUAGGAAAGCUAGUGUACUUUCCCAUAAAAUUGGGAAAUGAAGAACACUGAUUUUAAUGCUAUGUCUUAAAAUGUUGUUAGUAUUGUGAAAGGGUUUGUUCAGAAUUGUCACAGUUGUUGGAAAAUAACUUAAAAAUCAUAGCCUGUAAGUGAAACAGAAAGCAACCAGCUAUAUUGAUGUUGUUCUCAGUUGUCAAGUAGCAGUUUAGAGGAAAAAAGAAAAUGUUGUUUCAGGUUGUUGUUGCAGCAUGUAUGUAUUUGUAGUGAUAACUUUAUAUAUCUGCAUAUAUCCAGUUCUUCAACUUGCUCUGACGAAAACAAGUAGGCUCUGGUAAACAAUUGAAUGCGUGAGUUCUUUAUAAUUAUGUAUUAAUUUCUGUCUGUGCUACAUAUAACGUGGAAGGGACUGAUGUAAAUGAAUAUUGGUUCUCUAGGUAGCUACCCUCCAAACAGUUUAAGUACAUCACCAUAAUUUAUUUAAAUGAAAAUUUGCACAAUGGAGUGUAAAUUUAUGCUGCAAAGGCCACAUAGUUGAACCUGAUGUGCAUGGCUCCGUGGCGGUGAGGGGAAGCAGGCCAGGUUGAGGGGACGUUUUGCUUGAGGUGAUGCCUGCAGGACUUCCCAUCAAGAGGCUCUGGCAGGUAAAAACCAGCUGGGUCUAAGAUAAUGAAAAAUAUUCCCAAGUCACUCUCUGUUGUCGGGGUCAAAUAACUGGACUAAUUUGUCAGAUGAGAAGCAACUGUUGUUCACAUAAUUUUUUUGCCUCUGAACUUUGAAUUAAUUAUGUGGAAGAUUAGUUGUACUCUCUUCCACUACAACAGAUAUUUGCGGUGGGAAAAACGGUCAAACCUUGGUUGUUGAAUGUAAUCCGUUCCGGAAGCCCGCUCGGCUUCUGAAAUGUUCAACAACCGAAUCACAGCUUCUGAUUGGCUGCAAUAACUUAUUGCAUUCAAGCGGAAGCCACGUCAAAUGUUUGGCUUCCGAAAAACGUUCAAAAACCGGAACACUUACCGGUACUUCCGGGUUUUCAGCAUUCGGGAGCCGAAAUGUACGAGAACAGAGGUGUUCAGGAACCAAGGUUUGACUGUAGCGGUUUAAGCUUUUGUUGCAUGUGUGCAAUGUAGUAUACUGAUUUAUUAUAUAAUUUGGAUGGGUACUCAACCAUGUUUUACACAGAGUUAAUCCAAUGAAAGGAAUGAACAUGAUUAAGUUUGGUCUAUUAAUUCCAGCAGCUCCACUCUGCAUUAAAUACCACCCUAGUUUAUAAUAGUAGAAUCAUAACAACUACUACAAAAUAACAACAAGAACAAGAACAACAUUAUAAGAGUAAAAAGGAAUUCAGAUCCUUAUUGGAAACAAUAUUCUGAAAUCACAGGUAGGUAGCCGUGUUGGUCUGAAGAAGUGUGCAUGCACACGAAAGCUCAUACCAAUGACAAACUUAGUUGGUCUCUAAGGUGCUAGUGGAAGGAAUUUUAAUAUUCUGAAAGUCUGCUGAAAUAAAACUGUAUAGUUUUGUCAACGUUAAACAUAUCACUUUGCAGUUACUCCAGUCCUGCAAAGACAUUGUGCACCUGGUUAGCUUUAAACAUGAGUCUCAUCAAUUAGUUUAACUAUUAAAAAAUGGAAACGGUAUUUGCUCCUGAAGACAGAUAUAGUACUGAUAGAAAAUGGAAGCUGCAACUUUAAAAUAGGUGUGAGGAACCCCAGCUGGUUUUACCCUCUCCUCCCAGUAUAAGAGAAUAACUGAAAGGGGAAAGGGCUUUGAUGGCGUGCAAAAUGUACCUUGGCCGGCUUCUUCCUCUACAACAAGUUCAGGUGUCUCACUAGAUAGGUUUGUGCUCCUGACAAAGAUGCAAACAGUGGGCAUGAAUUUUGCAUUUGCAAGUAUGCACUUGCUUUUUGAAGUGUCUGGGCUGAGCGAUACGGGUGGAGACGCUCCUUCAGGUCUACAUUAUUUGGGGUUGGAAGUCUUUUUGCUUUUCAGCACAGGGAGAGAUAAAAGGGUAUUGGGCAGUGUUGUUGUUUUUUUUAACCCAUUUUGAUACAAAACAUCCUUGGAGAAAAUGGUGAAGCUUGAGUGGAGUUACUAAUGCCACUGUUUCCAAGUGAAAUAGCUGUGCAUGUCUGUGAAGGUUGUAGAAUGGUGGGAGGGGCCCUCGCUACCACGAUAUUGGUCCCCCACAGCUUUCCACUGGGAUGACACAACCCUCAACCAGUCUGAAAAAGUUUACUCAUUCCUGUGCGUAAAUAAGUAAACGUAAAUAACCAUAGCCAUAUGUCCCUGUGUGUGUGUGAUUCCACAUAUGUGGGAAAAAUUAAUCCAGUUCCAGAGAUAUAAACGUACAAGAGCUUUUAUUAUAGUUGCUUUUCUGUCAAGGUAAAUGGUAGGAAAUGGGUAGGCUGGGUUUACAAAAUCUUAGGGGUUCCCAGUCCUGCAUGGGAUGGCAGCCUAAACCCUUUAUUUUCAAUGGUGUUGGUCACAGCAUAGGAUCAGGCUGUAAAUAUUUUGAAUACUUAUAACUUAACAUAGCUCAAGGGGAGAAUGCUUUUGACUAUUUCCAUGAGGGAUUCCAACAGCUUCGGUUCUAUUUAAAAGACUUCUGCUUUCCCCAGUGUGCAACUAUCAUUUCACUAUAAAAUAGUGGGGAGACUCUGGCCUACAGGCAAUGCUGGGCAAGUUAAAGCUGUGGCUGCGAAAGAACAGCCAGAAGCUUGUUUAUUAUUAUUAAUAAUCCAUCAUUGUUAUAAUUAUUAACUCCAAGGCUUCUUAGUUAUUCCUUUGUAGUUGCAGCUUGACCCCAGUUGAAUUCCGUGCUGUUUGAAUUGUGUGCUGUUCAGGUUUUAAAAGCUGUUUUCCGCAGGGAUCCCAUUCAUUUUGGAGCUCCCCAAGGAAUCUGAUUCCCACCAAAAAGCAGAGGUAUUUCUACAGUAGAAGGCCGAGUGUGUGUGUUUCAUGGCUAAGACUCGGUUGGAAGACGAGGAGAUACUCUGUCUACUUUUGGGGGAGGGCAGGAGUAAGGAUGAGAAAUAAGGCAUACUACUAUACACUUAACCUUCUGGAAGCUUAUCUCAGUUCUGUGGUUUAAAACUAAAACAAUUGGAAGAUCUGAACUACCCCUAUGAGUUCAGUUUUCAAAUCUUGCUUUUCUUCAAAGUAUACUUCCAGGCUUCUCUCUUUCUCAAUCUUAUUUUUUAUUUGUUUUGGUUGGAAUCGGAAGGUUAGCCGCUUUUUAAUCCAACCCUCGAAUGAAAUGAGGUUCCCAGCCCUUCUCUAUGGGUUUAUGUUCUUCACAGCACAAGUGUUUUGUCCAAUGUAACACAAGGAAUUUUAAACCCAAGAAAUACUAAGAAAGUACAGUACCUGCAAGUAAAACAAACCCAUUUCUUGCUGUGUUCUCCCCUGCGUCCCCUCAGAAAAAAAGCACUGGUUUUGUAUCUUAAAUGACGUUGCUUCUGCCAAUGUCUGUGUAUUUCAGAGUGUGCCAGUCACUGAAAAGGUCAGACAUUUAGAGCCUCUAAGGGGACUUUGUUGUCAGUUAAAUGUGCAUAUAUUCCUUAUGUGACCAAAUGUUGAAAAGUACUAACAAGCCAGUCCUGCUUGGUUAAUGGCAAUUUUGCAAAGUAUUGCAUGCUAAAAAAAAACAUUCCUUCAGCAACAUGUACUUCUUUCAUUAAAACCAACCAGCCCACCCAGUUUUAGCAAGUUAGCCAGAUCUUGGAAUUUUGUGUUUUUCAAAACCAUAUGAAGCUAUCCAUAAUUAUCAGAUAGCAGCACUAUUGCCAAAGUGUAUUGACAAUUGUCUGAAAAUUCCCACUGGCUUUAAUUGGAAGCUAUACACUGGGUCUUGCAUGCCAUUUCCCUCAUUCCUCUUGGUGCUCUGCAUUAUAGCUAAGCCAGGAAUAUUGAGUUAACAAGAACUAUGAAGCAGGUGCCUAUUUCUUACCUUUCAUCUUUCAGGGUGCCUGGAUUCCAUUUCUUGUCCAAGGCGUUUGAUAACUCUGUCACUUUUUCCUAAAUGCCAGCGUAUGUGAGAUCAGAAAGUAGUUAUGUGAAGCCAGCUUGUGUUGAACUGGAAGAACAUUUUUUUGUUGUUUAUUAAAACUUGUGCAUACUGCCUUUCAUCUUGUUAGAUCAGGAUGGCAUAUAACAUAAAAUCAAUACAAACAAACACAAAAACAAUUGUAAAAGCAACAGGAGAGAAGUGAAACAGAUUGAGAUUUGCUCAGAUUUUAAUGUUUAAAUUCCUGGGUGGGGAAAAAUUGUUUUUGUCUAGUGCAGGGGUAGUUAAUCUCCAGCGGGUAGACUCCAAUGUUCAUCUGCCCGUCAGCCUGGCCAGUGGUUGGGAAUGAUGGGAGUUGUCAUCUGAUGUGGAGGGGCCCAGGGGAGCCAGCCCUGGUCUAUUGCUGACAUUUUCUCUUGGGGAGGCCUUUCUACAACCUGGGCACUGCAUCCAUUCAAGGGACAGCUUCUUUUCCCUAAUGUGCAAUUGUGAAUUUAACCUUUCUGUGCCUACACUUUCCCAUUUGGAGAAUGGGAAUCCUGCCUAGCAGCUUAUUUGCAAAACAUAGUCUGAAGAUAUCUAAAUGACAAGUGCUAUGCAAGUGAUUAAUGGUAAUCUGAGUUUUAUUUCACAGAAUUGUAGAGUUGGAAGGGACCCCCAAGGGUCAUCCAGUCCAGCCCUGCGAUGCAGGAAUCUCAGCUAAAGCAUUCAUGACUGAUGGUCAUCCAACCUCUGCUUAAAGGGUUGUUGAUAUUGAUGACACUUUCAUACUUCAGAUCUUUACCUAUGGGGUGGUGCAGCGUUCUUGCAACAAGGGAUAGCCUCCUACCAUUGAGAGCGCCUACCUUAGUGCAUGGGUUGCGUGCCUUGCCCACUGAGAUAUGCCAAUCCCCGCGCCCUGGGCCAGGCCAUGGGCACUGAGAUGCCCUGCAGGUCAGCCUAGCUGUCGUCUUCAUAUGCUGUAAAAAGACUCCAAUUUUUCAGUGUGUCAACAAACUUGCCCAUGAAAUCUGUUGAGCAGAGAAUGUUGUAAGUUUGGGCUUUAUUUACUUGUAUUUGUUUUUAAGAAACGGUGAGUUUUUUGUUUGUUUACAUACUGUUUACAAGGACACAGGUUUAUUUUUAAUAUAUACAACAGUUGAGAUAUUUAUUGCAUAUGCUAUUUGAAAGAUGUUUUAUGUGUUUUGCACCUUUGGGAUAUAUUGUUACAUUUCUGUAUUCAGAGUAUUUGGGUGGUUCUGUUAAUAGUAAUUUUAUGACUUCUAAGUGACCAGUUUUUUGUGCCUUUUUAUUAUUGGAUGCAUGAUUGCCUAUUUAUUAUUGUAUGGAAGUCAUGGAGAUGUGUAUUUUUGUAUGCUGCUGGAAGCAAUGGUUGAUUUUAUUGUACAUUUAUGAGAUAUGCCUCCCUUAAAGGGCACUCGAUGGAUCUUCCUUCUGAAAUAAACUAAUACAUACAAUCUCAAUAA